rnacentral:tRNA from 1 species
CAUUAGAUGACUGAAAGCAAGUACUGGUCUCUUAAACCAUUUAAUAAUAUAGUCGCGUAUAUUUCUAAUGA